UCCACGCCGUAAACGAUGUCGACUUGGAGGUUGUGCCCUUGAGGCGUGGCUUCCGGAGCUAACGCGUUAAGUCGACCGCCUGGGGAGUACGGCCGCAAGGUUAAAACUCAAAUGAAUUGACGGGGGCCCGCACAAGCGGUGGAGCAUGUGGUUUAAUUCGAUGCAACGCGAAGAACCUUACCUGGUCUUGACAUCCACGGAAGUUUUCAGAGAUGAGAAUGUGCCUUCGGGAACCGUGAGACAGGUGCUGCAUGGCUGUCGUCAGCUCGUGUUGUGAAAUGUUGGGUUAAGUCCCGCAACGAGCGCAACCCUUAUCCUUUGUUGCCAGCGGUCCGGCCGGGAACUCAAAGGAGACUGCCAGUGAUAAACUGGAGGAAGGUGGGGAUGACGUCAAGUCAUCAUGGCCCUUACGACCAGGGCUACACACGUGCUACAAUGGCGCAUACAAAGAGAAGCGACCUCGCGAGAGCAAGCGGACCUC
rnacentral:rRNA from 1 species